rnacentral:rRNA from 1 species
GGGGAAUAUUGGACAAUGGGGGGAACCCUGAUCCAGCCAUGCCGCGUGUGUGAAGAAGGCCUUAUGGUUGUAAAGCACUUUAAGCGAGGAGGAGGCUCUUUUGGUUAAUACCCAAGAUGAGUGGACGUUACUCGCAGAAUAAGCACCGGCUAACUCUGUGCCAGCAGCCGCGGUAAUACAGAGGGUGCGAGCGUUAAUCGGAUUUACUGGGCGUAAAGCGUGCGUAGGCGGCUUUUUAAGUCGGAUGUGAAAUCCCCGAGCUUAACUUGGGAAUUGCAUUCGAUACUGGGAAGCUAGAGUAUGGGAGAGGAUGGUAGAAUUCCAGGUGUAGCGGUGAAAUGCGUAGAGAUCUGGAGGAAUACCGAUGGCGAAGGCAGCCAUCUGGCCUAAUACUGACGCUGAGGUACGAAAGCAUGGGGAGCAAACAGGAUUAGAUACCCUGGUAGUCCAUGCCGUAAACGAUGUCUACUAGCCGUUGGGGUCUUUGAGACUUUAGUGGCGCAGCUAACGCGAUAAGUAGACCGCCUGGGGAGUACGGUCGCAAGACUAAAAGC